rnacentral:rRNA from 1 species
UACGUAGGGUGCAAGCGUUGUCCGGAAUUAUUGGGCGUAAAGGGCUCGUAGGCGGUCCGUCACGUCGGCUGUGAAAACCCAGGGCUCAACCCUGGGCCUGCAGUCGAUACGGGCGGACUAGAGUUCGGCAGGGGAGAGUGGAAUUCCUGGUGUAGCGGUGAAAUGCGCAGAUAUCAGGAAGAACACCCGUGGCGAAGGCGGCUCUCUGGGACGGUACUGACGCUGAGACGCGAAAGCGUGGGGAGCGAACAGG